GCCAACUUUACAAUCUUAAUUACAUUGAAACUUGCAUUAAAGAACGAUUAGUUUCAAAAUAAUUUAAUAGUUUAUUGCUAUAUAGUUUUAACGAAGAAAUGAGACAUCUGAUAUUAAUUUAGAGGUAUAUUAGAAAAAAUGGAAGUAAAAUUGUAUUAGCUAAAUUUUCUUAAUUCGUGUGAAAAUAAAAGUCAGUCUAUCUUUAUGGGAUGGAUAGAGUAUUAUUCGCAGUGGCAAAUCCAGAAUUGGAACUCAGGUAGGGUGAACAUUGACCAUCGACAAACAACGUCCAUAAUAACAAGGAUGUUUAUUAAUAAUAUUAUAUUAAAUAAUAGUAAAAAUUCUUCAAUCUAUAAGUAAAUGUACUAAAACGUAAAAAAUAUACAUGAAAAUACAAUUUAAUACAAUCCGAAAUAAUUGUAGAAAAAAAAAAUACAAGAUACAAUCUCAAUCUCAAUCUGAUUCCGACUCCUUAAUUUAGUAGUAUAAAUAAAAAUAAUCAAAUCACUCAACUCCUUGUACUAAUUCAAUUAACUGACGAGAAUCUCUCCAUCUUAAUCAAUUAUCUUCGAUCUAUUGAGUUAAAAUCAUUAAUCAAUCCACAUGUUGCUUAUUCUACCAAAUUAGUGCCAAUUCCAAUCCCUAAAUUCUCUCAACCAUCUACAGUGUUGUCUUCGUUCAAUUCACACCGAAUUUGUGCUAACUAAAGAAGUGAUUCUAUCCAAAUUCAAAAUCCCUAAAUAUCACAUACUCCAAUUUCACUUUUAUUCCUAUGGUUAUUUUUCAUAACUUAUAAAAAAUAAAUUAUCUCAUAAAUAAUAAAUCAAGAAUGAAUUAAGUGAACAAAAAUAAAAAAUGAGAGAGAGAGAGAGGCACUCAAAGUCAGUCUAAGACUGGAGAUUGGAGAGGUCGGCGACGACUUGUCGCCAAGCUACAGUAUUGACUUCUGAGUUCGCACUUCACAAAUCGUGGGGAAGAAGGAGAAUUGGAGAAGGGUUUCCCGUCUGCAAUGAUAUGGGUAAUUAGUAAUGGAUUUUCAAUUAAAGAUAUACAUUGGACAUAUAUUCAUGGAUUGGGCCUAAUAUUUUUAAAAAAAAAUAAGAGAGGCCCAUCAUCCCAAACAAAAGGGCCGAAACUGAAAAGGAAAAAGAGAGAGAAAAUAACCCAAUUCAGUCGUCUUCUUCCUUGCUUCUUUC
rnacentral:lncRNA from 1 species